UUGUCAAUGCGGACCCGGAACAAAGUUUGUGUUCCGCCGGACAUUUUUGCUGGUACACGAGUGAGAAGCAUGUGGAGAGAAGUGAGGGUACAAGCAGGCAAGAAAGUGAAGGUUAAGCAUUUAUUUUGGGAUUUUGAUGAUUCCUAACCAUUCCCUCUGGGGUGUGCAGCCAGCGAGUUCGACGGUGGAUUUGUUCGGACGUAAGGAGCAACAAGUGCUCAGAAGGAAAGAAUAAAUUCAUCUGUGAUGAUAAAGAA